UACCAGCUCUCCGAGUGGUAGGGAUGAUUAUUGGGCUUAAAGCGUCCGUAGCCGGCUUAGCAAGUUUCCUGUUAAACUCAGCGACUCAAUCGUUGGAUCGCGGGAAAUACUACUAGGCUAGGAGGCGGGAGAGGUCAACGGUACUUCUGGGGUAGGGGUGAAAUCCUAUAAUCCCGGGAGGACCACCAGUGGCGAAGGCUGUUGACUAGAACGCGCUCGACGGUGAGGGACGAAAGCUGGGGUAGCAAACCGGAUUAGAUACCCGGGUAGUCCCAGCUGUAAACGAUGCGAGCUAGGUGUUGGAAUGGCUACGGGCCAUUUCAGUGCCGCAGGGAAGCCAUUAAGCCCGCCGCCUGGGGAGUACGGCCGCAAGGCUGAAACUUAAAGGAAUUGGCGGGGGAGCACCACAAGGCGUGAAGCUUGCGGUUC
rnacentral:rRNA from 1 species